UACGUAGGGGGCAAGCGUUGUCCGGAUUUAUUGGGCGUAAAGAGCGUGUAGGCGGCCAUACAGGUCAGCUGUGAAAACUCGAGGCUCAACCUCGAGACGCCGAUGGAAACCCUCAGACUAGAGUCCGGAAGAGGAGAGUGGAAUUCCUGGUGUAGCGGUGAAAUGCGCAGAUAUCAGGAAGAACACCCGUGGCUAAGGCGGCUCUCUAGUACGUGACUGACGCUGAGACGCGAAAGCGUGGGGAGCGAACAGG
rnacentral:rRNA from 1 species